rnacentral:tRNA from 1 species
CAAAGGAUAGUUAAAUUUAGAAUAAUAGUUUUGGGAAUUAUUGAUAGGUUUUAUAUUACCUUCCUUUGA